rnacentral:rRNA from 1 species
UACGUAGGGUGCAAGCGUUAAUCGGAAUUACUUGGCGUAAAGCGUGCGCAGGCGGCUUUGCAAGACAGAUGUGAAAUCCCCGGGCUUAACCUGGGAACUGCAUUUGUGACUGCAUGGCUAGAGUGCGGCAGAGGGGGAUGGAAUUCCGCGUGUAGCAGUGAAAUGCGUAGAUAUGCGGAGGAACACCGAUGGCGAAGGCAGCCCCCUGGGCUAGCACUGACGCUCAGGCACGAAAGCGUGGGGAGCAAACAGG